AUAAGACACUUGGUUGACGUUUGAGGAGAAAAGUUUUAUCUUUUAGAGCAUUCUCCAAUGUUGAAUAAAUUCAUCAUCUCUCAAGUAUCUUAGUCAAUAGUUUGAGAAGAUGUUGGUCCAAUACCAAUGUUAAUGCUUGAAUAAUGAGGUGUCAAGGUUAAAAAUUAGAGCUGCAAUUGGUUAUCUUCAAGUAGAACUUCUUUGCCUUUUCACUUGUUGACUUGG
rnacentral:lncRNA from 1 species